UCUCUCGUCGUUUAAUGGCAAGACGCCGGGCUUUGGACCCGGAUAGUCGAGGUUCGAGUCCUCGCGAGAGAGC
rnacentral:tRNA from 1 species